rnacentral:rRNA from 1 species
GACAGAGGUGCCAAGCGUUAGGCGGAAUCACUGGGCUUAAAGCGUGUGUAGGCGGAAUCGUAAGUACCUUGUGAAAUCCCACGGCUCAACCGUGGAACUGCUUGGUAUACUGCGUUUCUUGGGCCAAUUAGGGGCAGCCGGAACAAAUGGUGGAGCGGUGAAAUGCGUAGAUAUCGUGAGGAACACCAGAGGCGAAGGCGGUUUCCUGGACAGUUACUGACGCUCAGGCACGAAAGCAUGGGGAGCAAAAGGG